AUGUUCGUUCGUUCUGAUCCACAGCAAAAACAGCAUGCUACCCGACUGAGUCUGCAUAUUGCUAUCCUCACUGCACCAGGAGACUUGCGCCAAGACAAGCUCAACAAAGAGCCAGUCAUCAUUAUCAUCAUGUCGGGAACACAAUCGCAAGCCACAGCCUCAUCCCUCCAGAUAUGCAGGUAAGCAAAACGAUGCGCUGUGUUAAGAAAUGUAAUUUAUAUGUUUCUUUAUCUGUGACAUAUUGGAUGAGAUCCAACGAGUGUACUGUGGAGAGCAGCUCAACUACCGGUUUGCGUGCACAUUUCAAAGCGGCCCGAUAAUCCGCCAAAUAGAUUUUGCUCUCGGUCUAUUCCGGCAAAUGUUGACUGCAUAUAAAUCACAUAAGGACGACACACUAUAAUAGGGACAAAUACUGUUAUUCUUAGUACAAUACAGAAUGACUACCGGGAGCUGAGCCUCAAAUUGUGCACGCGAUCACAUGUCGUGUGAGGAUCUUUUCGACAAUGAUGCUCGGAUAUGAUGACGAACCGGUACAAGAUGCGUAGAGGCAAACAAGGACAUCUUAAGGUCGUCCUGGGGCAUUUAUAGUAUAUUUUCGAGACCCCUGUAAAUCACACCAAACAAGUAGGCCUAAUACAUAAAUAAAUAAUGAAACUCCCAAAUAACCUCUCGCUAUUCAGUUUGAAUGGGCAAACGUCGGACCAGUGUGUGCUGACUAGUAUAAUUGUAGCCGUUUUAAAUCGUCUCCCAAACGGUUCCGGUUGUCGUAAAAAGUAAACAGAACAGUAAAACAUGGGCAGAUAAAUGAUGCGCAUUCCCGUCGGCGGUAGUUUUGUUAAUAUUUGCAUUGGCUUUUGUCGCAGCAUUCAUCUUAUAAAAUGCCUUUGCUGAGUCUUACAAUGUAGUCUACAGCAGCGUCCAUUUGCACUGCAUUAUGGUUCUGUAUUAUCAUCCUCCUAAAGGUAGAAAGAAGCAUUGCACCACACCAAGAGAGACAAAGGCAUUGCUCAAUAUGAACAUGUCCCAUGAAGAAGAAAAAAGGCCAGACUAGCCUAUACUUAACACUGAUUGCUAUAAUGCUUUAAUAGUUUGUUAUAGUCAUUAAUGUCUUAUUACAAGGCUUAUUAUCUUAUUAUAAGGAUACUAGUGUUAUGUAUUUCUAUGUAGCAGCUAUUCAAUUGGACACCAUAGCUGCUUGUUAGUAUCGUCAGCUAUAAAAUGAUAAUACAACAUUGUACGUAAGUUGUAGUAGGCUACAAUGCUUUAUGACUCUCACAUACUAAAAUAAUUUAUAAUGUAUUAAAAUCAUCUUGGUCCUACUCUGAAACAUUCCAUUGCAAAAGCGGAAAUCCAACUAACUUCACCUCCCUUUCGGAUCAUAAAUCAGGGUGGAGCAGAUCCAUGACAUAGCAACGCAGUAAAUGAGAGUGAGUAGUUUCUAGACAUGAACCGGCCAUAUACGUUGAUCAUUAGCCAAGGCUCCUCCCCUGGCAUUUGUUUACACUUGGGUCAGUCAAUUUGGAGGGAAGCAUUUAUACUGGAUUGUAUGGAACAAGCAUGUCUGUGACUACUGCCAGGUAAGAGAGGACAAUGCAAUGUAGUGCUUAGAAUGUUCAAAUUAAAACCUUUAAGAGUCGGUCUGAUACUUUACAGGCAGCCAAUGCAGCGAGGCUUAAUCUGGAGUAAUGUGAUUGUACUUUCUUGUAAUGUUGGUUAAAAUGUGUCUGAUAGUGUUCGGUACAAGUUAUAAGUUCUUAUUUUAGGUACUUGACCAACCAGACUGUAGGGCAUGACUACAUAAAACCUUGCUCUCCCAGCUUGGGCCUUAUCUGAAUCAGAUCAAAUCUGUUCUCUGUUGUCGAUGACUUCACUAAGCUUAGACAAUAGACUAUUUGAAAUCAUUCAAAUCAUUUUAGCGUUUGCUGUAGUCUGCCUGGAGUGCUAGAUGGGCAGGGUUUGAACUCUUGCGACUAUAUUCUGUUUGUUUCAUUGUCUCAGGCAAACGCAAUCAAUCCCAGAUAAAGUAUCAUAAAUGAGCGCUGGACACAUAGCCGUGCAGGCUGACACUUUAUAUUAAGUUAAUGUCUAACACUGUAAUUACUCUAGUAACAACCUUGUAUUCACAUGCUGUUAUAUGCACUGUUUUGAUUCAAAUGAUGAGACAAUGCUUUUUGUGACCCUUGUGUCAGCAGAUGACACCAGUGUAAAGUUGUAAGAUACAGUGCCUUGCGAAAGUAUUCGGCCCCCUUGAACUUUGCGACCUUUUGCCACAUUUCAGGCUUCAAACAUAAAGAUAUAAAACUGUAUUUUUUUGUGAAGAAUCAACAACACAAUCAUGAAAUGGAACGACAUUUAUUGGAUAUUUCAAACUUUUUUAACAAAUCAAAAACUGAAAAAUUGGGCGUGCAAAAUUAUUCAGCCCCUUUACUUUCAGUGCAGCAAAUUAUCUCCAGAAGUUCAGUGAGGAUCUCUGAAUGAUCCAAUGUUGACCUAAAUGACUAAUGAUGAUAAAUACAAUCCACCUGUGUGUAAUCAAGUCUCCGUAUAAAUGCACCUGCACUGUGAUAGUCUCAGAGGUCCG
rnacentral:lncRNA from 13 species